rnacentral:rRNA from 1 species
GACGAACGCUGGCGGCGUGCUUAACACAUGCAAGUCGAACGGAAAGGCCCUGCUUUUGUGGGGUGCUCGAGUGGCGAACGGGUGAGUAACACGUGAGUAACCUGCCCUUGACUUUGGGAUAACUUCAGGAAACUGGGGCUAAUAUCGGAUAGGAGCUCCUGCUGCAUGGUGGGGGUUGGAAAGUUUCGGCGGUUGGGGAUGGACUCGCGGCUUAUCAGCUUGUUGGUGGGGUAGUGGCUUACCAAGGCUUUGACGGGUAGCCGGCCUGUGAGGGUGACCGGCCACAUUGGGACUGAGAUACGGCCCAGACUCCUACGGGAGGCAGAAGUGGGGAAUAUUGCACAAUGGGCGGAAGCCUGAUGCAGCAACGCCGCGUGCGGGAUGACGGCCUUCUGGUUGUAAACCGCUUUCGCCUGUGACGAAGCGUGAGUGACGGUAAUGAGUAAAGAAGCACCGGCUAACUACGUG